UAAUACCGCAUAACGUCGCAAGACGAAAGAGGGGGACCUUCGGGCCUCUUGCCAUCGGAUGUGCCCAGAUGGGAUUAGCUAGUAGGUGGGGUAACGGCUCACCUAGGCGACGAUCCCUAGCUGGUCUGAGAGGAUGACCAGCCACACUGGAACUGAGACACGGUCCAGACUCCUACGGGAGGCAGCAGUGGGGAAUAUUGCACAAUGGGCGCAAGCCUGAUGCAGCCAUGCCGCGUGUAUGAAGAAGGCCUUCGGGUUGUAAAGUACUUUCAGCGGGGAGGAAGGCGAUAAGGUUAAUA
rnacentral:rRNA from 1 species